rnacentral:lncRNA from 1 species
GGGUAUGUCUUUAUCAGCAGCAUGAAACAGACUAAUACACCCUCCUAGGCCAGAUCUUACCGUAUGAGUUGCUGAACAGUGGGGGCUACCCAGGGGGUCCCGGGGACACUUGGAGGGCAGCAGAGGACACUGGUUAUUUACCAACCAGUUGGGUAAGGAAACUGGGGCUUGGAGAGGCCAUGUAACUUGGCUAAUGUCACACAGCUACUAAAUGGCAGAGCCUGGCCUUGAACCCAGGCAGUCAGGCUCCAGAGCCAGCACACUGAAUCAUUUUGCUACACAGCCUCUUGAGGAAAUGCAGAAAUUCCCACACCCAGUGUCAAGGUAUCAUGUGAGCCACUUGCUCUCGGCCUGACCUGACCACCUCCUCGAAAACUUGCACUGGGGCAGGCAUGGUGGCUCAUGCCUAUACUCCCAGCACAUUGGGAGGCUGAAGCAGAGGAUCGCUUGGGCCCAGGAAUUCAAGACCAGCGUGGGCAACACGGUGAGACCUCGUCUCUACAGAAAAAAAAAAAAAUUUGCUGAAUAUGGUGGCAUGUGCCUGUAGUCCCAGCUACUUGUGAGUCUGAGGCAGGAGGAUCGCUUAAGUCCAGGAGUUCAAGGCUGCAGAGCUAUGAUUGUGCCACUGCACUCCAGCCGAGGCAAUAGAGUGAGACUCUGUCUCUAAACAAAAUAAAAUGAAACAAACAAACAAAAAAAAGCCGCACACACAUCAAGUGGGGAGUUUAAUUCCAAAAAUCCAAAACAACUCACAUGAAUAUUUCAAAACUGUCAACAGCCAUGAGAGACUCACAGAAGUGAAGGAGUUGUUCUAGAAUAAAGGAGACCAUGGCCUGAUGCUGGCUAGGAGUGGAGCUCCAUCCUCCACCCUUCUCUACUCUGCUUUCUCCCCAAAGCUGGACUUGUCUGGGUUAUGUCUGUGGGCACCAUGUGCUCUAGCUUCCUGCUGGGUUUGGAUAAUGGGGACAGGGUGAGAUCAGAGUAUGCCCUGCUGUCCUUGUCACAAAGUCCUCACGGGCUGGCUGUGUUCCUCUACCGAAGCCCUGAGGUCCCAUCGGGUGGUGCUCUCGGGACAGCUCUCUCCAGCUCCAGGCUGUGGUAGCUGCUCCCUCCCCAGCCUCCAGAAUUAGGGCUGAUAAUGUCACCCCACUGUCACAAACCAAAGGAUACUGCAUGAUAUGUUUUGGAUUUGUGUCCCCACACAAAUCACUUGUUGAAUUGCAAUCCCCAAUGUUAGAGGUAGGGCCUGGUGGGAGGUGAUUGGAUCGUGGGGCCAGAUCUUUCCAUUUGGUGCUAUUCUUUUUUUUUUUUUUUUUUUUUUUUUUGGAGACAUGGUAUCACUCUGUUGUCCAGGCUGGAGUGCAGUGGUGCGGUCUUGGCUCGCUGCAACCUCUGCCUCCCGGGUACAAACGAUUCUUCUGCCUCAGCCUCCCAAGCAGUUGGGACUGCAGGCACGUGCCACCACACCUGGCUAAUUUUUGUAUUUUUUGGUAGAGACGGGGUUUCACCAUGUUGGCCAGACUGGUUUCAAACUCCUAACCUCAGGUGAUCUGCCUACCUCAGCCUCCCAAAGUGCUGGGAUUACAGGCAUAAGCCACCGUGCCCAGCCAGUGCUGUUCUUGUAAUAGAGUUCUCACGAGAUCUGGUUGUUUAAAAGUGGGUGGCACCUCCUCCCUUUCUCUCUCUUGCUCCUGCUCUGGGCAUGUAAGACGUGCCUGCUUCCCCUUCAUGCCUUCUGCCGUGAUUGUAAGUUUCCUGAGGUCUCUCCAGAAGCAGAAGCUACUACAUUUCUUGUACAGCCUGUAGAACCAUGAGUCAAUGAAACCUCCUUUCUUAUAAAUUACCCAGUCUGAGGUAUUUUUUUAUUAUAACAAUGCAAGAAUGAACUAAUAUACUGCACUAUCCCUUGUGGUUUCCUAUACUCUGCUCACACUUUUAACAAAAUGUCCUCAAACUAUUCUAUUUGAGUAUGCCAUGUGUUUGCAGCUGAGACCUUGCCUGAUUGACACACUAAAAUUUCUUAUCACUUCACCUUCCUAAAUCAUAUACUUAAGACUUUUCUAGCAGGC